rnacentral:rRNA from 1 species
CUGUUCUGGCUGGCCUGUUGCUUUCACGUCGAGCGGUGUCGGGCAGCGCUUUGCUGCUUCGCUGACGAGUGGCCUACGGGUGAGUUCUGGCUGGUGCACUGCCUGAUGGAGGGGGCAUCCCUACUGAAAACGGUAGCUAAUACCGCAUAACGUCGCAAGACCAAAGAGGGGGACCUUCGGGCCUCUUGCCAUCGGAUGUGCCCAGAUGGGAUUAGCUAGUAGGUGGGGUAACGGCUCACCUAGGCGACGAUCCCUAGCUGGUCUGAGAGGAUGACCAGCCACACUGGAACUGAGACACGGUCCAGACUCCUACGGGAGGCAGCAGUGGGGAAUAUUGCACAAUGGGCGCAAGCCUGAUGCAGCCAUGCCGCGUGUAUGAAGAAGGCCUUCGGGUUGUAAAGUAUUUCAGCGGGGAGGAAGGCGAUAAGGUUAAUAACCUUGUCGAUUGACGUUACCCGCAGAAGAAGCACCGGCUAACUCCGUGCCAGC